rnacentral:rRNA from 1 species
ACCCAAUAGAUACCCUGGUAGUCCACGCCGUAAACGAUGGAUGCUAGCUGUACGGAGUAUCGACCCUCUGUGUAGCGAAAGCUAACGCGUUAAGCAUCCCGCCUGUGGAGUACGAGCGCAAGCUUAAAACAUAAAGGAAUUGACGGGGACCCGCACAAGCGGUGGAGUGUGUUGUUUAAUUCGAGGAUAAGCGAAGAACCUUACCCAGGUUUGACAUCCUACUAAUUUCUCCGAAAGGAGAAAGUGCCUUCGGGCCGUAGUGACAGGUGAUGCAUGGCCGUCGUCAGCUCGUGUCGUGAGAUGUUUGGUUAAGUCCAUCAACGAGCGCAACCCUUAUAAAUAGUUGAAUUUUUCUAUUUAGACCGCCUCGGUAACGGGGAGGAAGGAGGGGAUGAUGUCAGGUCAGUAUUUCCCUUACAUCUGGGGCUACAAACACGCUACAAUGGCCGGUACAAAGGGCAGCCAAGUCGCGAGACGGAGCAAAUCCCAUCAAAGCCGGUCCCAGUUCGGAUUGCAGGCUGAAACUCGCCUGCAUGAAGCCGGAAUCGC